GGGAUAUAACUCAGUUGGUAGAGUGCUUGCCUUACAUGCACAAGGGCCCUGGGUUCUAAUCCCAAACACCA
rnacentral:tRNA from 1 species